GCUCAAACUCGAAGUCAGUUGUAUAGCAUCCCCAGAAGACAUAAAAUGGCUCUUCGAAACCGUGAUAUUUUGUCUCUUUCUUAUAAGUACUACGCGGAACGAAGCUUUAUCGUAAUUAACGGUUAAGAGUGAAUUCUAUAUAUUUUAACGAAUGGAGAAUGAGAGAUAAUUAGGGCAGUGUGCUGCCUCCUUAUCAACAAAGGAUCACUUCACCUAAAGACAAAGGUUUCAAAUACAGAUUCACAAAUGGAGUGGUAAUCCUUGACCUGCAUAAUAUUAACCAGUUUCAGUGCUGGAAUAACUUGGCAUAGGAGGUGGUGAAUUCGAGGAUUUACCUAUUUUGUAGUUCAUAAACUGAAGAAAGUAAAAAUCCCGAACUACGAAUGGAGUUAUGUAAGGAACUGGAAUAGCUAUUAUUUUUAAUAGCCCUUACAACCAAAAUGCUCCAUGGAGAGGCCUACAAAUUGCAACUACAGCGGAACCACUGCUUUUUAAAGGAACAGAAUACAGUUAAUUCAGCAGAUGACUUUUCUCCUAUUUUGUACACGGCACUGAAGGCUUUGCACAACUACAUACUUACCCAGCAGAUUUCACUUGCAGGUGCAAAGCCAUCUUAAUCAGAAGAUGCAAGUAGAGUGAGCAAUGAAAGAGAAAAUGAAAGUUGCUCUGAAUCAUCAUAUAGUAAAACUUGACUUGCUUUAAGUGACAGCCCCAGCAGUUUCUGCAGGACAGACAAGAUAAUCCUUAAGCAAGGAGUAACAACUGUCUUUGCUCACGUGGAGAAGUCGGCUCAUUAGUAGCUAAAUUUCCAAUUUCUUUAUUCUACAUUUCUUCCAUAGUGGUAAACUAUCUUCAGAAGGAAAGGUAGAUGGUUUAUAAAUAGGAAGGAGCUGAACAAUGCUAACUGAAAACUCACAUUCUUGUUGCCUGCUGUUAUACAUGGACUCCUGACAAUGUGUUUGCGUAUGUAUACUACAUGAUUGACUUUCAGGACACCAGGCAUUUCUCUGGGUAUGUCUUGUCUUCCAAUGCAAGUCCUUCAGGUCCUUGAAGGGAGAUCUGUAGGACCCACAAUGGAGAGGAAGUCAUAACAUGUACCAAGAGAAAUGCCUGGGGUGUCCUAUAUAGUACUUCUGCAAGCUCACAAUCAUUGUUGGGUGUGUUGUAUAUCAGGAGGCAACGAGAACGUGAGUUUUCCGUUUGCAUUAUUCGACUCAUUUAUAAUAAACCAUUUACCUUUUCCUCUGAAGAUAGUUUGCCACUACAGAAGAAAUGUAGACAAAAAAGUUGAGCUAAAUAGCUAGAACUGAGCUAACUUCUCCAUGUAAGCAAGACAGUUGAGAAAUCAGAAAUUUACUGCUUGUUGAAGUUUUAAUAAUUCUGGAAAUUUUUACUUGAUUCAUGAAGUGCUACAUCUCAAUGGAUUAUAAUUCUAGAAAUGCUACAUUAAAGUUUAUUUGAACUUUCAAGAGAUACUAAUGAAUAAUCAUGACUUGACUAUGUCAAGACUACAAAAGCAGAUUUUGUUUAACUGAAGGUUUGGGUGUGAACACAGCAAUGGCA